CAAGUCGCACGGGCGUAGCAAUAUGUCAGUGGCGAACGGGUGAGUAAUGUAUCGCUAACGUACCCCGGACUCCGGGAUAGCUGCCCGAAAGGGCAGGUAAUACCGGUUGACGUAACCUGCAGGCAUCUGCGGGUUCCCAAAGGUCCGCCGGUCUGGGCGCGGGCGAUUUCGUAUCAGCUAGUUGGUGAGGUAACGGCUCACCAAGGCGACGACGCGUAGCCGGACUGAGAGGUUGGCCGGCCACAUCGGGACUGAGACACUGCCCGGACUCCUACGGGGGGCUGCAGUAACGAAUCUUCCCCAAUGCACGCAAGUGUGAGGGAGCGACGCCGCGUGUGGGACGAAGUCCUUCGGGAUGUAAACCACUGUCAGGGGAUACCAAGUUCUGAGGAUCCCCAGAGGAAGAGGCGGCUAACUCUGUGCCAGCAGCCGCGGUAAGACAGAGGCCUCGAGCGUUAGGCGGAAUCACUGGGCUUAAAGCGUGUGUAGGCGGGCCCGUAAGUGUCUUGUGAAAUCCCACGGCUCAACCGUGGAACUGCUGGGCAUACUGCGGGUCUUGGGCCAACUAGGGGCAGCCGGAACAAGCGGUGGAGCGGUGAAAUGCGUAGAUAUCGCUUGGAACGCCGAAGGUGAAAACAGGCUGCUGGGGUUGCGCCGACGCUGAGACACGAAAGCCAGGGGAGCAAACGGGAUUAGAUACCCCGGUAAUCCUGGCCCUAAACGAUGUCCACUAGAUCGCGGAGCGGUUUGACCCGCCCGCGGUCGGAGCAAAAGUGUUAAGUGGACCGCCUGGGAAGUACGGUCGCAAGGCUAAAACUCAAAGGAAUUGACGGGGGCUCACACAAGCGGUGGA
rnacentral:rRNA from 1 species